GUGCAAGCUGCCUAUUCCAUAGGCACUAAUGUAGUCUUAUACCAUCAGUGAUUCAGACUGACUGAACUGAGCACUGAUAACCAGCUGGGUGGUGCCUCUCCUCUUUAGAUAGUGUCUUUAGAUGGCUUUUUUGGAAAUGGGUUUGUAUGAGCAUAUGACUUUUAGAGAUUAGCAGCUCUUGUUCUGGUGAUUUGUGUUUAUUGAUGACUAUCUGUCCUCACUUUACAACAUAUCACAGUGAGCCAAAACAGUGCUUUCUCAUUUGGCCAUUAUCCUGCUCAUAACUUGUCUCUUUCUUUGUGUAAAGCCAUUUAGUCUGCCUGUUUUUCAUCCCACAGAAAGGCCUAAUUAACUGAAACAAGGUAACUUUUUUUUCCUGACAGGUGACAUCAGAUGUCAAGAUAGGUGAAGAAUUUCCUUUCAGCCAAUGAUAGAAUGGCAAAGCCCCCCCCCCUCCAAGCCAUCAUCUUGAGCUGUUACAGGGAGUCAGUGUCCUAACACAUCUUGUAGUAGAGGAGUAGAAGAAAAGCUUUCACGGCAAUCUGGCCUGGCUGUAAAAAUUAUCCGAGGAGGUCCUUGGAGACGGAAACCUAAAAAAAUCACAACCCGGUUAUCAAAGGAGAACGAAGCAAUGCGGAGAAGAGACGCUCAAGUCAGCGACCUCAAAGACACUCGUGAGAGUAAUAGACUGUACAGUCUGACAGUGAAUAUGGGAGUAUUUUUCAUCCUGCUUUAUAUCAUAGCGCAACACGAGAGCUAACCUGCAUUUUUGUGUUCACAUCAAAGAAAACAGUGAAGGUUGGCUUGAAAUCCAAGUUGAAAAUCAUCUUACUGUAUGGUCCGGUUGGGAAGUGUAAACUGUGGUCAUGCUUCACGAAAGCUUGUGUCACUAAAUAAGAUAAAUAUGCAGGUAAUGGUUACACAGAGACUCCUCGAAAAGUGUAUUGAAUAUCAAAUGCAUAAAUGAAUGUACAUCAUGCUGUGUACACCGUCAUCAUUUGUAGCCAGACCAGUGUUGGAGAUAUAACUGAACUAAUGUUUCAGCAUUAUUAAUGCCCCAAUGACAGCUUAGCUUUUUAACUGUUUGUGUAACAUAUAUGCAGAAUACAGCUGCCUGAUUCAUCGUGGCAAAGAAGGCAGCCAAGUCUACAAGACAGCUCUGGAAAAUGUGAUGGAGGGAACCGAUUUCAGACUUUUUACUUUCAUGCCAUUCACAGGUUUGACCUCCCUCAUUUUCAUUCAUACUACACCAAAGUAAUCCUGUUUUGUCACUAUCUAGUGUAAAUUUCUAUUUUUUUCAAUCCAAAUGACUCCAACAAGAGAAAAAAAUAAUUUUUUUAAAUUAAUAAACUGUUAUUAUUAAUGUGAAUUAUGUGUCGUUAAACAUCUUUACAGUGACAGAAUGGGGAGUUUCACUUGUUUGGCCCACUUGAGACCAAAGGGGACUGUAUGUGGUCCUUGACAUAAAAUGAGUUUGACAUCCCGGGAAAACAGGCAUGAAUGUUAUUGAAGAACUUCCUUUCCCCUUCCAAAAUAUGUGCGUUUAGGUUUAAACAUAAAUAUAUGUUUAUAUGCACAUAUGUGAAGGAUUAAGGGAAAGGAUGGGGGUGAGGGUUCUUAAAGAUACUGUAUGAUAUAUCUAAAAAAUAUACCAGCUUCAAUGCUAUGCCUUGUUUCAUUAAGAAUUUUAGUUUUGAUUAUUUGUUUCCUGUAUUUUUGAUAUUUGUACUUCCUCUCUUUGUAUUUUUCCCCAUGUUUUAACUCUCCAACUACCUAUCUACUCCAACAAUGAGCAAAUUUUAGUUUCACAAUUACUUUCAUUAAAAUUG
ensembl:lncRNA